CGAACGCUGGCGGCAGGCCUAAUACAUGCAAGUCGAACGGCUCUUCGGAGCAGUGGCGGACGGGUGAGUAACGCGUGGAAAUGUGCCCUUAGGUACGGAACAACACAGGGAAACUUGUGCUAAUACCGUAUGUGCCCUUCGGGGGAAAGAUUUAUCGCCCUUGGAGCAGCCCGCGUUGGAUUAGGUAGUUGGUGAGGUAAAGGCUCACCAAGCCGACGAUCCAUAGCUGGUCUGAGAGGAUGACCAGCCACACUGGGACUGAGACACGGCCCAGACUCCUACGGGAGGCAGCAGUAGGGAAUCUUGCGCAAUGGGCGAAAGCCUGACGCAGCCAUGCCGCGUGUAUGAUGAAGGUCUUAGGAUUGUAAAAUACUUUCACCGGGGAAGAUAAUGACGGUACCCGGAGAAGAAGCCCCGGCUAACUUCGUGCCAGCCGCCGCCGUAAAAC
rnacentral:rRNA from 1 species